AUGCUGUGUUACUAUGGCUACUUCGAUUACUGGGGGCAAGGAACUCUAGUGACCGUCACUUCAGCUUCCCCAACUGCCCCCACUCUUUUCCCCCUCAUUCCUCCUCCUGAGAGCAUCACAGAAAGUGAUAAAGUCACCAUCGGGUGCAUUGCCAAGAAUUACCUGCCUGACUCAGUCACUUUCUCCUGGGAAAAUAAGAACAAUGUCAGCGACAGCACAAUCACAACCAAGUGGUUUCCGUCUCUUCUCACCGCUGGGACUUACACCGCAAGCUCCCAAGCAGCCGUCUCUGCUGCUGAAUGGAAGAAUCUGCAGCCGUUUUACUGUAAGGCUGUCCACUCUGCUGGAAACAAAGUGGUUCGAGUUGCUCGUCAGGCAUCAACAUCCAACUGCUGUGAUCCUGAAAUGUCUGUGCGUGCACCACCCCUUGGAGCAUUUUCUGGUCCUUACCUAAAUGCCACCAUCACCUGCACUGCUGCUAAUCUUUGCACCAAGCAGGCCACACUUCAGUGGUUGAAGAAGGGACAGAUACUUGAUUCUGGCUUCACCACCACCACGCCAGUCUUAGGGGGCAGCAGUAACAGCAUCAGAAGUGAACUCAUAGUCACUAAGAACGACUGGAAUGCUGAUGUUCACUUCACAUGCACGGUGAAAGAGAAGGAUUUUACUGGGACAAUGGAGAUCCACAGGAGCUUGUUUUGUCAAGAGGAUUGCAACACAGAUGUCCAUGUGAAAACCAUCCCACCAUCCUAUGCUGACAUCUUCCAUAAUAAGUCAGCCAAGCUGACCUGCAAAAUUUCCAACAUACCCUAUGAACAGGAUCGUAAGGCACUGAAUGUCACCUGGAAACUGGAAUCUGACAACAAAGUACUGAACACUGAACUGGGACAGUUGAAAGAUCAAGGAAAUGGCCUGGGAUACAUUGAAGCUACAACCAUCGUGUGUGCAACAGAAUGGAACAAAGGUCAAACCUUCACGUGCAAAGUUGCUUUCCCAGGAUUACUUCCUGAACCUAUAGAAAAAACCCUGAAAAAGCUUAAUGGUGCCCCCCUAUCUCCCCCAUCUGUCUACGUCCUUCCCCCUCCAUCAGAACAACUAACUUUGCAGGAAACUGCCACCAUCACUUGCCAAGCGAACCAUUUCUAUCCCAGUGAUAUCUUUGUGCAAUGGCUUCAAAAUGAUCAGCCAGUGAAUAGUCAAGAAUACUUCACCAGCGAACCCACACUGGAGCCCAAGUCACGCGACAGGUACUUCAUCUACAGUGUCUUGAACAUCAGUGCAGAGGAUUGGGCUGCGGGAACCACCUACACUUGUGUGGUGGGACAUGAGGCGCUGCCCAUCAGCACAACUCAGAAGACUGUGGACAAGAACACGGGUAAACCAAGCAUUGUCAACGUCUCCUUAGUGCUCUCCGAUACUGCCAACACUUGCUACUAACCAUCGUGAUAGUUUCUCUUAAGCAGCCUCCAUCCCCCUAUUACCACCAGCAUCUGUUUCCCUUGUUGCAUCUCCUCCUGCUUCGUGAUUGAUCCUUCAGUGGAAAGCUGGGGGUUGGUGGUGGAUCUAAGAAAAGAUGUGUCUUAAAUGUUAAAAGCAUUAACUGGCCACAUCUUUUUGAAAAAAUAAAGUGUGUGUUUUUUUCCAAAGAAAGAAAA